rnacentral:tRNA from 2 species
GGGAAUAUAGCUUAGUGGUAGAGCACUUGCCUAGUAUGUGCAAAGACCUGAGUUCAAUCCUUAGUACCCCUC